rnacentral:rRNA from 1 species
AUUGAACGCUGGCGGCGUGCUUAACACAUGCAAGUCGAACGUGAAAGUCCUUCGGGACGAGUAAAGUGGCGCACGGGUGAGUAACGCGUGGAUAAUCUACCUUCAAGACGGGGAUAACGGCUGGAAACGGUCGCUAAUACCGGAUACGCAUCAUAUAAAAUAUUAUGGUGGAAAUGAUAGCCUAUGCUUGCAAGCUAUUGCUUGAAGGUGAGUCCGCGUCCCAUUAGCUAGUUGGUAAGGUAAAGGCUUACCAAGGCAACGAUGGGUAACCGUUCUAAGAGGAUGAUCGGUCACACUGGAACUGGAACGCGGUCCAGACUCCUACGGGAGGCAGCAGUGGGGAAUAUUGCGCAAUGGGCGAAAGCCUGACGCAGCGACGCCGCGUGAGGGAUGAAGGUCUUCGGAUCGUAAACCUCUGUCAGAAGGGAAGAAAUGUAUGUAUUCAAAUAGGGUAUAUAUUUGACGGUACCUUCAAAGGAAGCACCGGCUAACUCCGUGCCAGCCGCCGCCGUAA